CAGGAGCCCAGAGCACACAGAAGGGGGCCCAGGCCGAGGCGGCAAGAAGGAGGCCGUCCGCAGCUGGCCCAGAGGAGGCCAGCCCACCAUCACCAGAUCUUGGGCUUUGGUCUCUCAGUGAUGAGAAAUGCAUCUCUGCUUUGAGCCCCUUGGUGUGUCUUGUUAUGCAGCAGGGCAAGCCUACCAUGGGUACCAUGCACAUGUGUCCAUCCCUCCAUCUGGAGAUGAUUCUGCAACACCCAAAAGGUCCUCCCUCCCCAGCAUCCAAGCUGCCAAUCCAUCCUGGCUGCUGUCCACCCCACUGCCCUGAACCAUGGAUCUCAUCAUGCAAGCUGUUGCCUCCAUGUCUUCUGCAAGCUUCAGCAGUUGCUCCUCUCUCCGCCUCUUGCCAGCUGGGACACCCCACUUGUGUCUUACUACAGCCCUGCUCCUCCCUGGGGACCCACCGCAGACAACCCCAGCUCCCAUCCUCUCCUGUCUUCUUUACGGCCGUCUGCGGGGCCAUAGCUGUGGUCCUCAAGGUGACUUCUGAAAAGCUGCACAUGCCCAAGAGGAGACAACUGCAGACUAACAAGCCCUCCAGGCCGGGUGGCUCCUCUAGAGGCCCAUCCUGCUUCCUCCUCUUGCCUGACUGUAGACAGGAGGCCACUCGCCUGCAGCCCAGGCAGCCAAGUCAGCACCUGAGACACAUGCAGAAGUAUGGGGAUGUCAGGUGCCUCUGGGUGCUUCCUGCCUUCCUGCUCUCCUCAGACUUGCUCCUACCUUCCCCUACUUCUUGUCUGCUGGUUAUGGGCCAUGAUGGUGCAGCCAGCCUGUGCCCAUGAGAGAAAAUCCAUGGCACCAAAAGAUAUCACUCUGAAGCCCCCAUAAUCUCAUUGUCAUCGAAAACUCUUACGUAUUAAACCCUGGAGUCACUUUUCAAUUACAUGCAGCCAAGCACAAGCCUGUUUGUUUACACAUGCGAUCACAACAGGUGUUUAAAGGCUAUUUUUCACCCAAGAAACCGAAGUGAGAAGAAGUCAUGUGACUGCCCCAACAUCCCACGAGUGGGAGAGCCAAGAUGGAAUCUGACUAACUCUCUGGCCCAGCCUCUUCUCCAUCUGCUUCCCCAUUCUACAUUCCGAUGUUUGUUGAGUGACUAAGUCAUCUUCUGUACGACUCUUUUAGAGGAGGGGAAGGUCUGUAUCCUUCUCAGGUGGGGUCCCUAAUCACUCUCCAUCCAAAGGAAGAUGCUCUGGCUAGCAGCUAACGCAGUUCUCCCAGGAUCCCCCCCAACCCUGUGGCUCAUCAGGCUCAGACCUAGGUGCAGCAGGCAGAUCCUCAGGAGACACCAGCGGCCCUUCCCUCCCACACCUGCUCACAGUGGUGGUUCACUGGCACCUCCCAUCCACACAAAAUAAGGCAAUCAAUGGCACAAAUAUUUUAUCUAGUUUGCUGUACGCUUAUUUUCUUCGAGGUGAAUGGAUCAAUGUAGCCCAGAGAGCAUGGAGCAGAAUUUCUCAUUGAACUGACAUCAGGAACAUUCGCUCCAGCCUGAAAAUCUAACAGAGCUACACUGUGGCUGAUGCACAGAGCUGGGUGGUGCAGAUCGGUCCCACCACUCCCAGGUGCAGUGGACAGGUGUGCAGACAGAGCGAGGCUGGCAUCCGUGACUCGGAAGCAAUGCUGGCUGGGUGACCUUGGUCAUGUAAGUCUAAAAAGUGGAAAUAAUAAUACCCACUUCAUUUCAAUGUUAAUAAAUUAAAUGAACAAAGCCACUGGGUGGAGAGUACACAGCACAGAGCCUGGCAAAUGGCACCAAAGGUGAAGUGAUGCUGUUAUUACUAUUGUCAUUAUUACUACCAUCAUCAUCGUCUUCAUAUCGUCAUCGUCGCUCUCUAUGUACUUCUCCACUGGGGGAGGAUGAUAGGAUGCCUGAAUUCUCCAGGAUGACUCAAAGUUUGAGUAUGGGAACCCGAUACUUCAUAAGUACACCCUCUCCAGAGCACAAGUUCUCAUCUGGCGUUCAGAAAAUGUGACCACAGAAGACUGAGGCCUAUAGAAAAGAUGCUGAUCACCCACACACAGGCAAGCAGGUCUUGCCUUCUCUGUGAAAUGGAACAAUAAGAUCCUACCAGGCUUCCACACAGAGAACCAAAAAGCUGUUUUGAAAAGCCAUUUGCAUGUAGGUUAAUAAUUAUCAUUUUAAUUUUGCCAAUCAUAUUAAUAACCAUAUGCCAACCAAUCUUCUUGCUGCUCUAGCACAGUGUCAAUACCUUAGGCCUCUCCUCUUCUCUGGCAGGUCACAUGUCCUUCAAGAAGCCCGGAGCAGAGAGGCACAUCCUGCCAACAGGGCUGGCAAGGAGAGGGGCCAAGGAGAGGCAGCAGAGAAGCAAGGACCUUAUGCAAAAAGACCAAGGUAAACUGUCUUGGGGGCUAAUGUCAACGCGUCUCUCACAGAGCAGGCCCAUCACAUGAGAACCCACCAUUGUGAACACCCUGGAGAAGACCGGGCUGGCGGUCAUGGCAGAAUGAGCCCCCAGAGCACAGCCCCGCCUUGAUCUCCUUCCUUAACAAGCCACUCUUACCGGUUCCUCAUUUUGGCAGACUCAACCCAGCAGGGACCCUGAUCAGACACAAGAUGUCUUGCUCCAGGCCAUGACCAGCCUGAUGGUCUCUCAAGCACCACCAACUCACUGUGUCCCCAACAGAAGUCACCAACUCUCCCUCUAACCUACACCUGCUCAAGACGACACUAUACGCCCUCACCCGAGUCCUGGAAAUGUCAAUCCCCUUAACACCUUGGUCUCUUGCACUCAGCAAUGUAAUCCUCACUUGAAAGUUUUGGAAUAUUUUUCCUCUCUGCUCCCCUUAUCUUCUGUCUUAGUCACUUUCUCAUCACUGGAACAGAAUACCCAUCACCCACCACCCAAAGGAAGAGAGAUUUACUUUUGCUCGUCGUUUCAGUCCAUAGUCUGGUGGCUUCUAGGCAGAAACAGCACAGUGGAAGGGUCUGGCAGAGGAAGCUGCUCAAUCC
rnacentral:lncRNA from 1 species